rnacentral:snoRNA from 1 species
GAUCCUUUUGUAGUUCUUGAGCAUGAUGAUUGGGUAUUCACGCUGCUGUGUGACAUGUGCCUCCUCCCAAACCUUGUUACAACAUCGGCACAUUACCUGUCUGACGUGA